rnacentral:rRNA from 1 species
CGAACGGGUGAGUAACGCGUGAGGAACCUGCCUCAAAGAGGGGGACAACAGUUGGAAACGACUGCUAAUACCGCAUAAGCCCACGGCUCGGCAUCGAGCAGAGGGAAAGGAGCAAUCCGCUUUGAGAUGGCCUCGCGUCCGAUUAGCUAGUUGGUGAGGUAACGGCCCACCAAGGCGACGAUCGGUAGCCGGACUGAGAGGUUGAACGGCCACAUUGGGACUGAGACACGGCCCAG